CCUACGGGUGGCUGCAGUAGGGAAUUUUCCACAAUGGACGAAAGCCUGAUGGAGCAACGCCGCGUGAGUGAAGAAGGGUUUCGGCUCGUAAAGCUCUGUCGGUAGGGAAGAAAGAUAGAGGUAGUAACUAGCCUUUAUUUGACGGUAAUUUCUUAGAAAGUCACGGCUAACUACGUGCCAGCAGCCGCGGUAAUACGUAGGGGGCAAGCGUUGGCCGGAAUUAUUGGGCGUAAAGCGAGUGCAGGCGGUUCAAUAAGUCUGAUGUGAAAGCCUUCGGCUCAACCGGAGAAUUGCAUCAGAAACUGUUGAGCUUGAGUGCAGAAGAGGAGAGUGGAACUCCAUGUGUAGCGGUGGAAUGCGUAGAUAUAUGGAAGAACACCAGUGGCGAAGGCGGCUCUCUGGUCUGCAACUGACGCUGAGGCUCGAAAGCAUGGGGAGCGAACAGGAUUAGAUACCCGGGUAGUC
rnacentral:rRNA from 1 species